rnacentral:tRNA from 1 species
GGGGUUGUAGCUCAGUGGUGGAGCGCUUACCUCACAUGUGUGAGGCAUUGGGUUCAAUCCUCAACACCA